rnacentral:sRNA from 1 species
UCUAGACAAAAGAAAGACCAUAUCAAAGAGUUUCUGCUGCUGUGGAUGUUUUCUGAAGGAGACAGUCUCCAUGGUACUUCGGUUGUCUUUGCUUUUGCUUUGUACAGUAUAGAAGAUUACCUCUGUUUACCAUAUGAGCCUUCCUAUACUGUGGAAGGAAAUGGAUGGAUGGGUGCAGGAGAAAUAGUUACAUUGGUGAAUUGCAUAGAUACAUGAAUUCAUGGAUAGAUGACUAUAUGGAUGGAUGGAUGGAUGGAUGGAUGGAUGGAUGGAUGGUUGGGUUGAUGGAUGAAUAGAUUAUCAGAAGGAAAAAACCCUUCUGUUUGGAAACUUCUCUCUUCAUUAAUUCAAUGCACUGAGGGAGUUUUCUUCUUUCCUUUCCAGGGAUUUCAAAAGAGAAACCAGGAACAACAAUAAAAUGUCCCUAUCCCAUGACCCUGCCAGUUCUUCAGAAAAAUGAACUCUCCCAAAGUGACAAGGUAUCCUAGUAGAGGCAUCAGAAGGCUCCUGACCUUAGGAGAGUGCUGCCACCCAUUGGUCCCAUCAGAGAGAAGAGGGGCCUAGUUACCUGCUCCUAUCAGAAGCUGUCUGGGACCUAAGCCUGUUUUCUCCAGAACUUGAAAACCCAGAAAAGCAAGUUGUUCCAGGCACUGGUUUGGUGACUCAGUCAUUGUGCUUGGACAGAGGACCACUCUAAGUCCCCGCUGUCGUCUUUGGGGCACAUCUUAAAGAGAGACAGCCAACCACUUGGCCCAAGAUGAAGGUGAGGCUGAGAGAGGACCCCACUCCAGGCUGGUGUGAU